UGAGGCUGUGGCUCAGUGGUAGAGUAUCAGCACCGCAUGCAGAUGUUCCCAGGUUUGAUUCCUGGCACCUCCA